GACGUAGGGCGCGAGCGUUGUCCGGAUUUAUUGGGCGUAAAGAGCUCGUAGGCGGCUUGUCGCGUCGAAUGUGAAAACCCACGGCUCAACUGUGGGCUUGCAUUCGAUACGGGCAGACUGGAGGUAUGCAGGGGAGAACGGAAUUCCCGGUGUAGUGGUGAAAUGCGUAGAGAUCGGGAGGAACACCUGUGGCGAAGGCGGCCCCCUGGGCCGGCCCUGACACUGAGACGCGAAGGCGUGGGGGAGCGAACGGG
rnacentral:rRNA from 1 species